rnacentral:rRNA from 1 species
UGUUUUGUUUAUUUACUUGGUUGUCACAGUCACUCAGUCAGUCGGUGAAGCUUAUUGGCCCCGCGGCAGGCACGCAUGAAGCGCUGUCGACAGCGGGGCUGUGUACGUUACGUCUUUCGGGGUACCUACUACUGUCCUCGAUGCGACCCACGGUGACGGCUUAGAGCCCGAGUGCUCGCCGGGUCGCGACGGUUCAAAGAGUGGCCGGCUCGGCUCUGCUCGAGAGUUGACAGCCGGUGACCGCCCCGUCGUCAGUCCGAAAACAGGAGGUUUAGUCCGGGGUACCUAUGCCCUGCCUGCGCUCGCUCUCGGUGCAGGUAGGGCGGUAGCUCCAAGCUCGCUAUUUGGCCGCGAGGUUCAAAGAGACGACCGUGCUUGCAUUACACUUGCAGGCAGCAACGGUCGCCGCCCCGGGCCUCCUAAAAUUUUCCUUUACAAACCAAAAAAUAUUUUUUUAUUUAUUGUCGGUCGACUCGAUCGUGGCAUACGGUCGGUCGGCGUGGAAGAAAAACAAAAAAAGUCUAUAACUUUGAGCGGUGGAUCACUCGGCUCGUGCGUCGAUGAAGAGCGCAGCCAGCUGCGUGAAUUAAUGUGAAUUGCAGAACACAUUGAACAUCGAUAUCUUGAACGCAUAUGGCGGCCUCGGGUCAAUCCCGGGGCCACGCCCGUCUGAGGGUCGGCUAGUCACAAAGCAAUCGUGUCCUUGCAGCUCUCGCAAAAACCAAAGCCUUGCUUGCUUGCUUGCUUGCUCGCACGCUCGGCGAUGGUUGGAUACGCCCUGGACCCUCGCGGCCUAACUGAAGCUGUCGUUGCCUUGCUCGGCUUCGACGGUGUAGGUGACGGCCCCGUGGUCUUAAGCGCAAGCCGCGCCGUUGUCCGUUCAUCUCGUAACGUCUUCGACGCUGCCCUGCUCUUGGCGGUCUGUCCGUUUUUCUCUACCGCCAGGCAGGACCCGGCUCGCUUACUUGGCGUUCUCGGGCCUGCAGUCCUUGGCAUCUCAGCUCGUGGGUGGAGAGCAACGGGCUUCAUUCACAUCGAGGAAGCUUACUUGAUCGGCGCCUGUUCGUUCAAUGAAUGAAUGAAGGUAUUACAUAUGA